UCAGAUUCUGGUGAGGAAGCUCUUCCAGGUUGAAGACUGCUGACUUCUCCUUGUGUCUUCACAUGGUGGAAAGAAUGAGAGAGU